CCCAACCUGGCAGUUACACAGAGCCCAUGACAGAACCUAGGGCAUUGCUUUCAGUUUUAUUAUUAUCUCUAUUCUGCAGGUGUGGAGUUGGAGACUCAAAAAUGUUAAAUGAACUGCCUAAGAGCAGAUAAAGAGCAAGGGGAAGAGGUGGAAUUCAAACUUAGAUUUCCUCGUGCCAAAUGUCACCAUGUCAUCAGAUCCUCCUCCCCCUCCCAAGGCCUCUGAUCCUCGAACAUGGUUGGCAAGUCACACUCACUGUGGCCAGGUCUUGCUAAGAAGGGAUCAUGCCCAUCCUCAAAGGACCAAUUCCUGCCUGUCAAGGAGUUCUUGAACUUUCAAAUUUAUGGUGAACACUGUGUUUUGUUUGUCCCUCAUUCCUUCUGGAAACACCACUCCUCAUUUUCCUCACAGUUUCUAAAGGAGCUGCCAUAUUCUCAGAUGACUCAACCACAUCCUCACCUCAGCCAGAGCUGGUUAGAACCUGGGCGGGGGAGGGUAUCUGAGCCAAGCAGGGUCAAAAAGCCUCUUCCCGAAAAUAUUUGGACUCG
rnacentral:lncRNA from 1 species